rnacentral:rRNA from 1 species
UACGUAGGAGGCAAGCGUUGUCCGGAGUUACUGGGCGUAAAGGGCCCGCAGGCGGUGGAGUAAGUUUGGAGUGACAGUUCCCAGCUUAACCGGGAAAGGACUUCGAAAACUGCUCGACUUGAGGACUGGAGAGGAGUGUGGAAUUCCCGGUGUAGCGGUGAAAUGCGCAGAUAUCGGGAAGAACACCCGUGGCGAAGGCGGCACUCUGGGACGGUACUGACGCUGAGACGCGAAAGCGUGGGGAGCGAACAGG